rnacentral:misc_RNA from 1 species
GAAAUGCGAUAAGUAAUGUGAAUUGCAGAAUUCAGUGAAUCAUCGAAUCUUUGAACGCACCUUGCGCUCCUUGGUAUUCCUUGGAGCAUGCCUGUUUGAGUAUCAUGAAAUCUUCAAAGUAAAUCUUUUGUUAACUCAAUUGGUUUCUACUUUGGUAUUGGAGGUCUUUGCAGCUUCACACCUGCUCCUCUUUGUUCAUUAGCUGGAUCUCAGUGUUAUGCUUGGUUCCACUCGGCGUGAUAAGUUAUCUAUCGCUGAGGACACUGUAAAAGGUGGCCAAGGUAAAUGCAGAUGAACCUCUUCUAAUAGUCCAUUGACUUGGACAAUACUUUUAUGAUCUGAUCUCAAAUCAGGUAGGACUACCCGCUGAACUUAAGC